rnacentral:rRNA from 1 species
GAUCAACGCUGGCGGCGUGCCUAAUACAUGCAAGUCGAGCGAACGGACGAGAAGCUUGCUUUUCUGAUGUUAGCGGCGGACGGGUGAGUAACACGUGGAUAACCUACCUAUAAGACUGGGAUAACUUCGGGAAACCGGAGCUAAUACCGGAUAAUAUUUUGAACCGCAUGGUUCAAAAGUGAAAGACGGUCUUGCUGUCACUUAUAGAUGGAUCCGCGCUGCAUUAGCUAGUUGGUAAGGUAACGGCUUACCAAGGCAACGAUGCAUAGCCGACCUGAGAGGGUGAUCGGCCACACUGGAACUGAGACACGGUCCAGACUCCUACGGGAGGCAGCAGUAGGGAAUCUUCCGCAAUGGGCGAAAGCCUGACGGAGCAACGCCGCGUGAGUGAUGAAGGUCUUCGGAUCGUAAAACUCUGUUAUUAGGGAAGAACAUAUGUGUAAGUAACUGUGCACAUCUUGACGGUACCUAAUCAGAAAGCCACGGCUAACUACGUG